rnacentral:rRNA from 1 species
CGGNNGAGAGNANCAAACAUGGAUUCCCCUAGUAGCGGCGAGCGAAGCGGGAUGAGCCCAGAUUUGAAAGCUCCCACCAGGGCGCAUUGUAACCUGGAGACGCACCUCGAGCAGUGCGGCCGGACCCAAGUCUGCUGGAAAGCAGCAUCAGAGAGGGUGAAAAUCCCGUGCUUGGCCUGGCUUGUGCUGUGUUGUGGGGUACGCUCGACGAGUCGCGUUGUUUGGGAAUGCAGCGCAAAGACGGGUGGUAAACGCCAUCCAAGGCUAAAUAUUGGGGAGAGACCGAUAGCGAACAAGUACCGUGAGGGAAAGAUGAAAAGAACUUUGGAAAGAGAGUUAAACAGUACGUGAAAUUGCCAAAAGGGAAGCGCUUGCAGUCAGUGCCGUAGUGCUUGUCGUUCUCCAGGUGUCUGCCUGGGUAUGCGGCUUGCAUGGGGCCCGCGGGAUGUUUCCGGUGGGGGAGAAGGCUGUGCGGAACGUGGCUCUUUCGGGAGUGUUAUAGCCGCGCAGUGGAUACCUUGCUGGGGACGGUCGCGGGCUUAAUGGCUGUCAGCGGCCCGUCUUGAAACACGGACCAAGGAGUCUAACAUGUGUGCGAGUAUGUGGGCGUCAACCCCGCAUGCGCAAUGAAAGUAAUUUUGGUGCGAUCCCUUACGGGUGCAGCACCGGCCGGCCCAGAGUGUACGCACAAAAGGGGUCUGAGCAAGAGCAGAUAUGUUGGGACCCGAAAGAUGGUGAACUUUGCUUGGCUAGGAUGAAGCCAGGGGAAACCCUGGUGGAGGUCCGUCGCGGUUCUGACGUGCAAAUCGAUCGUUUGAGCUGAGCAAAGGGGCGAAAGACUAAUCGAACCAUCUAGUA